rnacentral:lncRNA from 1 species
AAUAUGCAGAACAAAUUCGUAUAUAGGAUAGGCCAUUUUUUAAUUAAACCCAAUAUAGACCUUUCUUCGUUUGAUCCAAUAACAGCUUAUUUUACAAGUCUUAUUUUAUUUCGAUUAGAGAAGAAGAAACUAUUAAACAUCAAUUAUGCCAUACACUUCAAACAUCAAAGUUUAAGACUUCAAGUCUAAGAAUCAAGAUGCAACACAUUCUUAGCCAUAAAUAAUCUUCAACAGUUCAACGGUUCAACAAUACUUCAGUGACUUAGUCUUCAUAAUUGCUCACCAAUUAUGCCAUACACUUCAAACAUCAAAGUUCAAGACUUCAAGUCCAAGAAUCAAGGUGCAACACAUUCAUACAUUCUUAACAAUAAUCUUCAACCGUUCAACGAUUCAAGUUCAACCAUACUUCAAUCAGUUCAGUGACUCAGUCUUCAUAAUUGCUUACCAAUUAUGCCACACACUUCAAACAUCAAAGUUAAAGGCUUCAAGUUCAAGAAUCAAGAUGCAACAAAUAGACAAAGAAAUCAAUUUGAAUCUCACUCACCCAAAACAAGAAACAAACAAUUAACAAAUACCAGAGGCACUGAAGCAGCAUGAGCAUGACUGAUUACCCGUUGAUCGGAUAUUGGGGGAAAACAAAUCAUAAAUGAGUCAAGAUACAAAAAAUAGACAAAGAAAUCAAUUUG